rnacentral:ncRNA from 1 species
AUUCUGGUUGAUCCUGCCAGUAGUUAUAUGCUUGUCUCAAAGAUUAAGCCAUGCAUGUCUAAGUACACACGAAUUAAAAGUGAAACCGCAAAAGGCUCAUUAUAUCAGUUAUGGUUCCUUAGAUCGUUAACAGUUACUUGGAUAACUGUGGUAAUUCUAGAGCUAAUACAUGCAAUUAAAACAUGAACCUUAUGGGACAUGUGCUUUUAUUAGGCUAAAACCAAGCGAUCGCAAGAUCGUUAUAUUGGUUGAACUCUAGAUAACAUGCAGAUCGUAUGGUCUUGUACCGACGACAGAUCUUUCAAAUGUCUGCCCUAUCAACUUUUGAUGGUAGUAUCUAGGACUACCAUGGUUGCAACGGGUAACGGGGAAUCACGGUUCGAUUCCGGAGAGGGAGCCUGAGAAACGGCUACCACAUCUAAGGAAGCAGCACGCGCGUAAAUUACCCACUCCAGCUCGGGGAGGUAGUGACGAAAAUAACAUACAGACUCAUAUCCGAGCCCUGUAAUUGGAAUGAGUACACUUUAAAUCCUUUACACGACCAUGGAGGCAGUCUGGUGCAGCAGCGCGGUAUUCAGCUCAUAGCGUAUAUAAAGUUGUUGCGG